GUGACCUUCAAGUGUUCCCCAGCCUUUAUAUCUCGUAAGUCUGUCUGAAAAUAUCUUUCUCUCUUUGAUGCCAGUUUUCCAAUGAAAAUAUUGCUAAACUAUGUAUCAGCUGACAUCUGUUACAGCAAAUAUGCUUACUGUAGCCAUGUACGCACCACAAGGCGCAAGAGGUUAGGCUAUAUCUUAUUCUGUGACAUCACAAAUUCUGCAUUAGCUUGCAGGAAACAAUGGUAGCUUGGGCCACACUUACAAAUAACCAUGAAAAGUUAUAUACCUAUCGUAUACUGGUAAAAUCUUGCUCUUGUAUCUCUAUAGAAUAAUUACCAAGAUCCAAAGUGAUAUCAACAAGGGGGAGCAGAAGAAGGGCGUUGGUCUGAAGUAAGAAAACUGAUUUUAUGUUACAGUUUCAACUGAGUGUAACUGUGACUGAACAAGUCUUGACUUUCAUAUUUUGUCUUUGACCAGAUUAAAAGCACAAAAAUAUCUAAAAAAAGGUAAAGAAGACUUUCGGUUAAAUAUGACACCGAUAUCACAAAGCCAUCUCUCCUUAGGCCCGAUCUUCUGUUUUUUACAGCUCCCCCUCCUCCAGUUUUUGUACAGGAAGAAGAAGACUGGAACUCAGAUGAGUUUGUAAGUAAAAGACCACAAGCAACCUAACUGAAUUACUAAAUGUAAGUGACAACAGUACUAAUGUCACAUGUCUGCUGUGGUCAGGACAAUGACAGUGACUAUGACGCUCCGCCUCAGGAGUGGGGCAACAACAGCUACACAUGUGAAAAAAAUCAGUCACAACCAGCUGAACAACAAGACAGCGGCGAGGCAAGCGACGAAGACUACGAACAGCCUGACUCUGAAGACACAAUGAUGCCACCUCAUCCCCCAAGAGAAGCCAAACUUCAUGACAGGCACUACAGAGACCCUGCUCCUGAGCCGCCAACUGCUGAAAGGGCUUCAAAACCUCCUCCCAAUCCACCGAGAAUAAACCCUGCCCUUCCAAGACCUUUCAAAGCAGCAGGUGAUUGUACAUGUAAUGACUCCACAACCAACUGAUUAAUCGGUAAUGAUACAGAUAAUCUCAAACUUGUGUAAUACAUUUUUUCCUAUUUUUAACAACAGCCAGCCAACCCAGUCUGAAUAUUGACAGGAGCAAGAAGCCAGGACUACCUGACCCAUCCCAGAAAGACUUAAAAAAAUCAAGUAUGUGCUGCAUAUUAUGUAGUGAUUGGAAUGUUUGUAAGAGUAUCACAACAGUGUAGUAAUCCUGUCACAACAUUACACAUUUCUAUCUGAUACUAUGCAUCAUGUCCACAAGAGGGCAGUGCUGUCCAAGCUCCUGGCUUAUCCACCAAAAAGAGUCUUCCACCAAGAUCCCCCAAACCUACAGAUGUCUUCAACAGGUAGGCCAACCCGAUCAAUUCAUGAGCCUAGCAAGCCCUUCACUCUGGGAAAUGCAGUAGUCAAAGGGCUCUCAAUUCAUCUCUCCCUCCCCCAGAGGAAGCAAAUUCAGUCCACCUCCUCCAGUACCAGCAGAACCUGCCAUGGUUAAACCUUCAGUAGCAGGACCACAAAGGGUGAGAAUCAAAAGUGGAAUCAUAAUUAAAUCAUAAUUUCCAUAUGUAAUGUGAGCACACAUUAAAUCAAUAUUAGAUAAUAUUGCAAUUAUUUUGCGAUAUAUUUGAAUGAGUAAUGAUGUAGGUGGAAACUGUUUGUAUUGCAUUUAACUUUCACUAGACAAACUAUUUUAAAAUCAUUAUGCGAUGUUUUCUAGAGUCUGUAACAACCAACAUGUUCCCUUGUUUCCUGUUUGGAGGGUAUGAUUUGAAUGCAGAUGCAUCUCUGUUGCAACACAAAUCUUCAUUUAAAUGACAUGUACAAACAUGUUGUGUCACAUUUCACCUUUUAUCAAAAAUUUGCAGCUACAGUUGUUGGAUGUUACACUUGGCCAUAUCGCGCUUCAAUAAUAUUUCAAUUAAUUAUUCAGCAUUAAUAUUAGACAUAAGAUGUUCUGUGCAACAGCACUCUGGAGUACUUUCUCUAGGGAAACAGCAGGUGGCAACAUUGUAAAAGAACACAUACAAUGAUGACAAGAGUUACUUUAUUUAGUCCUUACUUUGACAGUUUUAUUAUGGUGCAUCCAGGGUUUGGAUCCUGGCUGGUAUGGAGGAAAUAUGACCAGACAUCAAGCCGAAGUUUCUCUCAGAGAGGUGAACAAGGUCAGGUGCUGCCUCUCACAAAUCUCUCGUAUAUUCUCUUUCUGGAGCAGAGACAGUCACACAAACACACACACACACACAGAAAUAUACUCAAAAUUCACAGAAUUGUAUUUGCAGUAAUAUGUCAAACUGUGAGAGUUUGCACAUUUAUGUCUUCAGGAUGGGGCAUUUUUGGUGAGGGACAGUUCAAGAGGCUUGGAUGAGCACCCCUACACCCUGAUGCUGAUAAAACAAGGCAAGGUGUACAACAUCCAGAUCCGUAAGCAAGGAAACUCCUACUCCCUCGGCACUGGCCACAGCAGCACCAAGGUAAACUGAAAAUAAUGAGACUAUUAUCUACAAUUUUAAAAUGAGAGGAAAAAGUCAGUGUGCCUAAAAGUAAACGGAAACAUUCACAUUUUGCGGCACGCCUAGGAGAGUGUUUGAUGCUGACUUGUGCUGCCCUGCAUCAUUAGGUCUAUGUCAUCUUUUUUUGUGUUGCUGCUGUGCUGUAGAGUUUCCCCGGGGUGAAGGAGAUGAUUACCCAUCACACACACACCCCACUGCUGCUCAUUGAUGCCACAGACCAGAGCUCUGAAGUGCAGAGCCAGUGUCGCCUGCUGCACCCUGCGGGACUCUGACCAGCACCGACAACAAGCUUAAUGUGGGC
ensembl:lncRNA